UACGGGGGAGCAAGCGUUGUUCGGAUUUACUGGGCGUAAAGGGCGCGUAGGCGGCGCGGUAAGUCGGGUGUGAAUCUCGGAGCUUAACUCCGAAACUGCAUUCGAUACUGCCGUGCUUGAGGACUGGAGAGGAGACUGGAAUUUACGGUGUAGCGGUGAAAUGCGUAGAUAUCGUAAGGAAGACCAGUGGCGAAGGCGGUCUCUGGACAGUUCCUGACGCUGAGGCACGAAGGUCAGGGAGCAAACGGG
rnacentral:rRNA from 1 species